rnacentral:rRNA from 1 species
GAUGAACGCUGGCGGCGUGCUUAACACAUGCAAGUCGAACGAUGAAGCCCAGCUUGCUGGGUGGAUUAGUGGCGAACGGGUGAGUAACACGUGAGUAACCUGCCCUUAACUCUGGGAUAAGCCUGGGAAACUGGGUCUAAUACCGGAUAGGAGCGUCCACCGCAUGGUGGGUGUUGGAAAGAUUUAUCGGUUUUGGAUGGACUCACGGCCUAUCAGCUUGUUGGUGAGGUAAUGGCUCACCAAGGCGACGACGGGUAGCCGGCCUGAGAGGGUGACCGGCCACACUGGGACUGAGACACGGCCCAGACUCCUACGGGAGGCAGCAGUGGGGAAUAUUGCACAAUGGGCGCAAGCCUGAUGCAGCGACGCCGCGUGAGGGAUGACGGCCUUCGGGUUGUAAACCUCUUUCAGUAGGGAAGAAGCGAAAGUGACGGUACCUGCAGAAGAAGCACCGGCUAACUACGUG